rnacentral:rRNA from 1 species
GACGAACGCUGGCGGCGUGCUUAACACAUGCAAGUCGAACGGUGAAGCGCCUUCCUUUUUGGUGGGUGUGGAUGAGUGGCGAACGGGUGAGUAACACGUGAGUAACCUGCCCCCUUCUUCUGGAUAACCGCAUGAAAGUGUGGCUAAUACGGGAUAUUCUGGGUCUGUCGCAUGAUGGGUCUGGGAAAGAUAUUGUUUCGGUGGGGGAUGGGCUCGCGGCCUAUCAGCUUGUUGGUGGGGUGAUGGCCUACCAAGGCGGUGACGGGUAGCCGGCCUGAGAGGGUGGACGGUCACACUGGGACUGAGACACGGCCCAGACUACUACGGGAGGCAGCAGUGGGGAAUAUUGCACAAUGGGCGCAAGCCUGAUGCAGCGACGCCGCGUGAGGGAUGGAGGCCUUCGGGUUGUGAACCUCUUUCGCCAGUGAAGCAGGCCUGCCUCGUUUGUGGGUGGGUUGACGGUAGCUGGAUAAGAAGCGCCGGCUAACUACGU